rnacentral:hammerhead_ribozyme from 1 species
AUCCAGUUGACGAGUCUCAAAUAAGACAAAACGCGAGUCCUGGAU